rnacentral:pre_miRNA from 1 species
UCACUGUUUGUCAAUAGCCUCGCUAGAUGUGUUCCUAGUGCCUGGCUAUUGCAAAUAGUCGAUA